GAGAGUUAAAUAGUACGUGAAAUUGUUGAAAGGGAAACGAUUGAAGUCAGUCAUGCUAGUGAAAAUUCAGUUUGGUGGGUUUUGGGUUCAGGAGUUGAGGCAGGGUCAAACCGUUUCUCUUUUGAACUUGGAAUUUGUCAGAUGCACUUUUUCUUUGGCAAGCCAGCGGUUCGCUUAGGAUGCUGACGUAAUGGCUUUAAACGACCCGUCUUGAAACACGGCUGUCUCUUAUACACAUCUCCGAGCCCACGAG
rnacentral:rRNA from 1 species